GACGAACGCUGGCGACGUGCCUAAUACAUGCAAGUUGAGCGAUGAAGAUUGGUGCUUGCACCAAUUUGAAGAGCAGCGAACGGGUGAGUAACGCGUGGGGAAUCUGCCUUUGAGCGGGGGACAACAUUUGGAAACGAAUGCUAAUACCGCAUAACAACUUUAAACAUAAGUUUUAAGUUUGAAAGAUGCAAUUGCAUCACUCAAAGAUGAUCCCGCGUUGUAUUAGCUAGUUGGUGAGGUAAAGGCUCACCAAGGGGAUGAUACAUAGCCGACCUGAGAGGGUGAUCGGCCAAAUUGGGACUGGGAAACGGCCCAAACUCCUACGGGAGGCAGCAGUAGGGAAUCUUCGGCAAUGGACGAAAGUCUGACCGAGCAACGCCGCGUGAGUGAAGAAGGUUUUCGGAUCGUAAAACUCUGUUGGUAGAGAAGAACGUUGGUGAGAGUGGAAAGCUCAUCAAGUGACGGUAACUACCCAGAAAGGGACGGCUAACUACGUG
rnacentral:rRNA from 1 species